GGCCAGGUGGCGGAGUGGUUAACGCGGUAGACUCGAAUUGUAUUGCCUUUGCAAUGCAAAGAAAUCUACUUCCUUCGGGAGCGUCUGUUCGAAUCAGGCCCUGGUCG